rnacentral:rRNA from 2 species
UCAGGACGAACGCUGGCGGCGUGCCUAAUACAUGCAAGUCGAACGAACUCUGGUAUUGAUUGGUGCUUGCAUCAUGAUUUACAUUUGAGUGAGUGGCGAACUGGUGAGUAACACGUGGGAAACCUGCCCAGAAGCGGGGGAUAACACCUGGAAACAGAUGCUAAUACCGCAUAACAACUUGGACCGCAUGGUCCGAGCUUGAAAGAUGGCUUCGGCUAUCACUUUUGGAUGGUCCCGCGGCGUAUUAGCUAGAUGGUGGGGUAACGGCUCACCAUGGCAAUGAUACGUAGCCGACCUGAGAGGGUAAUCGGCCACAUUGGGACUGAGACACGGCCCAAACUCCUACGGGAGGCAGCAGUAGGGAAUCUUCCACAAUGGACGAAAGUCUGAUGGAGCAACGCCGCGUGAGUGAAGAAGGGUUUCGGCUCGUAAAACUCUGUUGUUAAAGAAGAACAUAUCUGAGAGUAACUGUUCAGGUAUUGACGGUAUUUAACCAGAAAGCCACGGCUAACUACGUGCCAGCAGCCGCGGUAAUACGUAGGUGGCAAGCGUUGUCCGGAUUUAUUGGGCGUAAAGCGAGCGCAGGCGGUUUUUUAAGUCUGAUGUGAAAGCCUUCGGCUCAACCGAAGAAGUGCAUCGGAAACUGGGAAACUUGAGUGCAGAAGAGGACAGUGGAACUCCAUGUGUAGCGGUGAAAUGCGUAGAUAUAUGGAAGAACACCAGUGGCGAAGGCGGCUGUCUGGUCUGUAACUGACGCUGAGGCUCGAAAGUAUGGGUAGCAAACAGGAUUAGAUACCCUGGUAGUCCAUACCGUAAACGAUGAAUGCUAAGUGUUGGAGGGUUUCCGCCCUUCAGUGCUGCAGCUAACGCAUUAAGCAUUCCGCCUGGGGAGUACGGCCGCAAGGCUGAAACUCAAAGGAAUUGACGGGGGCCCGCACAAGCGGUGGAGCAUGUGGUUUAAUUCGAAGCUACGCGAAGAACCUUACCAGGUCUUGACAUACUAUGCAAAUCUAAGAGAUUAGACGUUCCCUUCGGGGACAUGGAUACAGGUGGUGCAUGGUUGUCGUCAGCUCGUGUCGUGAGAUGUUGGGUUAAGUCCCGCAACGAGCGCAACCCUUAUUAUCAGUUGCCAGCAUUAAGUUGGGCACUCUGGUGAGACUGCCGGUGACAAACCGGAGGAAGGUGGGGAUGACGUCAAAUCAUCAUGCCCCUUAUGACCUGGGCUACACACGUGCUACAAUGGAUGGUACAACGAGUUGCGAACUCGCGAGAGUAAGCUAAUCUCUUAAAGCCAUUCUCAGUUCGGAUUGUAGGCUGCAACUCGCCUACAUGAAGUCGGAAUCGCUAGUAAUCGCGGAUCAGCAUGC